AAAGAAUGAGUAUGCCUCAAAAUAGGUUUCAAAAGAAAUGAAACCUAGAUUUUAAUUUCUCUGCUCGUGGUGGGAUUUGAUUUGGUUCGGAGAGCUUUAUUUCAAUAUGAAUUUCAUUUAGAACCUACCGUCGUUGAUUGUUACACCUGAAGCAAGGAAUCUCAUUUGUAGAUUUUUAUAUGAUGUUGACCAGAGACUAUAUAUCGGAGGGGAAGAUCAAAUAACAGCAUGUUGGCAGUAUCAAAGGGAAGUACGCUGAGCAGGUUGAUGGAGUUUAACUAGAAGACCAAUAAGAGGAAACCGAUGGGAAUAUUAGCAAAAGCCUGAGAAGAAAACAUGAAGAGGUGUUUUUGGGUGAAAACCGUUUCUGCUGAUUUCGGUAAUUUCGUGUGAGUGCGGUUGCAUGGCUGGGUAAAGAUCUCUCUGGAAUUUGUGCACAUAGAAGUGAUGGUGAUGAUCGUCCGUAAUUUGGAUUAACUAGAAACAACGUGAGAAUAAUAUUAGUUGUCGUCAUCUGCACAAGCCUUGGAGUGUUGGUUUGUUCAGGAACAUUGAGGGCUUUCUGGGAUGCUUCAUAUCCUGGUAAAGAACUUCACGGGUUAGUAUCUGAACAAUGGAAGGACAUGGGCUAGCAAGGAAAAGACCCAUCCAUAGACUUCAGUAUGGUUUUCCAACAAACUGUCAUUGGGUGUCAUGAAGCAGGACAACCUGAAAGGUAUUGACGACUGGAGCAUCUCCUAGUUCCUGGUUGGAAGGGUUAGAUGGAGUUACUGGAAUGUCAUUGUUCAGUUUUUUUUUGUUUUUGAAAACAAUUGAUUUUGGAUUCUAACGCUAUCUUAGCUUUUGCUUUUGUUCUUGUUAUCUUUCUUCUCGAAAUCGUGUUGUUUGGACGAGAUUUCGUAUGAGAAUUAACUUUUACAAUGUCAAUUUGUGUAAUUAACUUUUACA